UACGAAGGUGGCAAGCGUUGUUCGGAUUUACUGGGCGUAAAGGGAGCGUAGGUGGUUAGGUAAGCCCUCCGGGAAAUCUUCAGGCUUAACCUGAAAAGGUCGGGGGGGACUGCCUGGCUAGAGGACGGGAGAGGAGCGCGGAAUUCCAGGUGUAGCGGUGAAAUGCGUAGAUAUCUGGAGGAACACCGGUGGCGAAGGCGGCAUCCUGGACCGGUAUUGACGCUGAGGCGCGAAAGCCAGGGGAGCAAACGGG
rnacentral:rRNA from 1 species